UGGGGAAUAUUGCGCAAUGGGGGAAACCCUGACGCAGCCAUGCCGCGUGAGUGACGAAGGCCUUAGGGUUGUAAAGCUCUUUCGCUAGGGAAGAUAAUGACGGUACCUAGUAAAGAAGCCCCGGCUAACUCCGUGCCAGCAGCCGCGGUAAUACGGAGGGGGCUAGCGUUGUUCGGAAAUCACUGGGCGUAAAGCGCGCGUAGGCGGAUUGAUUAGUUGGGGUGAAAUCCCGGGGCUCAACCUCGGAACUGCCUUCAAUACUGUCAGUCUUGAGUUCGUGAGAGGUAAGUGGAAUUCCGAGUGUAGAGGUGAAAUUCGUAGAUAUUCGGAAGAACACCAGUGGCGAAGGC
rnacentral:rRNA from 1 species